GCUCCUCCCGAUCUCCCGUCGAAAAGAAAAACGCAGGGACGAGUCGCUCCUGUCCCCUAGCCCCUCGUGCGCUAGGGUUCCUCACGGCGCCGUCGCUGCCGCCGCAUGGGUGUUCGUCCACUGGCCCUGCCUCCGGCGGCCGCCGCCGUAGCCGCCCACCUCCAUCCUCUCCCCAGCCCCGUCGGCCUCCACUUCACUCCCCUCCUCCGCGGGCGCCACCAAACCGCCGCCGCCCUCCCCCCGCACCCGCACCCAAGGACUCAGCCGGUGGCCAGAUCCGCCCCUCCCACUCACCCAACUCUCUCUUCGUCGCCGCCAUCUAGACCGGCCGAUUCCGUAAUGAUCCGGCGCCGAUCCGUUCCUGUAGCCGCCGUCGUUCGCAUACAGAUUCGGUGCCGAUCCGCGGCCUGGAGUCUAGGACGUCAGCGCCACCAGUUUACCGAUCAGGUCGUUAGCACUGCCGUCUAGGUGAUAAUAAACGCCGUUCACCACAACAAGAGGUGAACAACAAGAGGCGAGAGGCAGAUUCCAGAUAAGGGAGCAAACUGCGUAGCAAGAUCAAUAAUGAAUGGUUCAAGUCAUGUGUUACAAGUUACAAUGAGCAGGUGGUACUCAAGUCCGUUGAUGAUAAGGAUAUUAUUCGAACAUUUACUGCAAUGAGGUCUCGGAAAGGGCAUUUGCCUCGUGAUUGUCUUUAGUGCGCUGCCGGUAUUCGGCAUGCCAGCGCCUUCGUCGACUUCCACUCGCCAAUCUGUAACGCCUAUGCCCAUGGUGGCAGGUCACACUCUGAUGCAGCCGUGCACGCCGCCGCUACCAGACGACACCCCCAUCGAGUAAUACACCCCAGCCGAGAUUUUCUAUAUCAUCUCUGCCAAGGCGCAGUCAUCGGAAGAGAUUCAGGUAAGAUUAUCCUUGUUUUCUACAUCAAAUUUUGCAUGUUCAUCUGUCUAAUCUUUGAUACUACAUUUCUUAGCUAAUGUCCUCCUUGCCUGUACCAUGUUCAUAUGAUUAACAAAGGCUUGGCCAUCUUAAUAUAGUAGCCCGUGAGGUGGAUAUAUAUACUACUCCCUCCAUUCCUAAAUAUAAGUCUUUUGACAGAUUCCAAUAUGGACUACUGAGUGAAUCUACACUCUAAAGAAUGUCUAAAUGCAUCCGUAUGUAGUCCAUAUUGAAAUCUCUAAAUGGACUUAUAUUUAGAAACAGAGGGAGUACUUCAGUUUGCAUGAGAGAAUAAUCACUUAUAUGUGUGCCUCGAUAUUAUAGUAGGAUUGCUUGGAUUAUUUCUGUAGUACUUUGUCCAAAAAUGUUGUUCUAAUCCCUAGCUCACUUGAACCUGGGUGAACAGUAAAAUAAUUAAAGAAUCUGAUAUUUUUUUUAGUGUGAAACAUUGACAAAUGUCUUCAUAGCAAAUAGAAAUUUGUCACCAGAUGACAUUCGUGGAAAAUAUGUCCAAAAAAUAGUUGCAAAUUUAUCACCAGAUAACAUUGUGGAAAAUAGUUGCGGCCGUACCGUGUGUUCUUUGUCGAAUUUGUGUUUGAUUUUUUCAUUAUAUAUUACUUCUUGCUUGCGCGAGGGUGGUUGUAGAUUUGUUAUUUUUUGCCCCGAAAAGAAGGUAACCGGAUUAGUAGUCUAAUUGAGUAGAUGCUGGUGAGGGAGGGUUACUUGAUUUUUAUUGAGUACAUUAUGCUCCGCUUUGUGAUGAGGUUUGAAAUUUGAUUGUUCUGAUGUGUAAUAGAGGGGGCAAAAGUGUUAUCCAUUUCAUUGUUUCUGUGCAUGUUUACGUUGACCAUCGGUGGCGGGAGGCGGCAUUGUUGGCGGCCGAAGGGGUGCUUGUGGAAGCAGGUGGUAUAGUCGGCAGCUGUGGGGAUUCGUUAUUCUCCGAGGUUGGCGGGCUCGACGCCAGGCUCGAUGGGGCUGCGGGAUUGUCAAGCAGAAGCCUGGUGCAGCCUACCAAGCUGGGGAGAGCCAUAGAAUGCCCAUCUUGGAAUUAGCUGUUCGACUGAAUGUCCAGGACAAAGAUAUUGCCACCUCCUUUGAGUAUGCUUGACUUGUAUAAUGCGAUUUUCAUUUAUUUAGAGUGAAUUACAUAAUAUAUAGAUAUGCAUUAUUAUGGCUUUAGUAACUAAUUUUCUCAUGUUUAGAAACAUGCGAGGUGGGGGGGUGUCUUUGCUUUACUUUGAUUUUAUAUACCUCAAUAUUUUUUUUACAUAUGUUGCAAUCGCAAAAAUAUUAUCAACAAAAAAUAUUAAAAAAAUUAAAAAAUUAAAUUACUACUUCCAAAUAUUUGGCUGAUUAGUCACCAAAAAAAGAACAUCAAAAGCAUAUUUCUAAUUAGUAAGGUUGACAAGAUAUGCAUUGCUACGCAGUUAGGAACUAAUAUGUGAAUGGUAAUUGUUCAUGCCCAAGCAUGGAUGCAGGUGGAUGUGGGCGCCAGGGCCGCCACCAAGGAUGUAGGGGCCGUGCCACAACGGGCGAGGAUGCAUUAGGCACGCCGAAACUGACGAGGACACGUGAGCCGCACUGCAGCCUUAGUGUUUUUCCUAAUUUCUUUAGGUACGCAAGGUUGAUUUAAUAUUCACAUGUAUGCUGAAAUUUUGACACGAAGAACCAGCAGUGGAGUGUUAUACGAAAUUUCUCCCGAGAGCUGUACUACCAUUCUUUUUAGUAUUGAUUGACUAAUUCCCAUGAGUUGUCCCAAAAUUGUAAAUAUGAAUAUGGAUGAUUAAUUAUGAUUCUAAUGAGGUCAUUGGUUCUCAUUAAAAUAGCAGCAUGAAAUAACCCUGCA